UGUGUGUGUGUUUGUGUGUGUGUGUCUCUGUGUGUGUGUCUCUGUGUGUGUGUUUUGUGUCUGUGUGUGUUUGUGUGUGUGUCUCUGUGUGUGUGUGUCUGUGUGUGUGUGUCUCUGUGUGUGUGUCUCUGUGUGUGUGUGUCUGUGUGUGUGUGUGUGUUUGUGUGUGUUUGUGUGUGUGUGUGUUUGUGUGUGUGUGUGUGUGUGUGUCUCUGUGUGUGUGUGUGUGUGUGUGUGUGUGUUCUGACCUGGUUGAACUCUGGGUUCAGGGUUUUCUUCAUCACGGCGGUUUUGUGUUUGGAUUUCUUCAGGAUGUCGGGCUUCAGGUAUCUGACGAAGAAAAUCGUCUUUUAUUUUGAAAGGAUGAAGGUUUUUGUUGUUAACCAAACGAACGGCGUGACCAGAGGUUCACAUCAACAGUCCUAAGGAGUUUGGGGACCACAGACCCAGUUCUGGUUCCGGUCCAGCUGACAUUUAUAUGCUGGACCCUGCUUCAGAACCAGAAGCUGGGUUCUCCGCUCGUCUCCUGGGCUCAGUCGGGUCGGGUUGCAGCGCUGAGCAGGAGAUUCUGCAGGGAAACGGGUCGGUUCUGAUUUUCAUCUAGAACCGCACAUCUGAAAAAAACAGACAGAAAACUACCAGAACCAGAACCGGGUCUGUCUGUCCUGAGCAGCCUCCAUCAUUUUAGGGGGCGCUGCUCGUAAAGGAACACUGUCAAAUAUUAUCUUUGGAUCUUUGUCAUUUAUAAAGGUAGGAAUAACUUUUAAAACUUUAAAAUGAACCACGUUUAUUCUGUCAGGCUGAAUAAACCAAAUGAAUUUGUUUCAUUUUUUACAGUGUUCCUACGGCGCCCAGAUGACCUCUGCCCUUUGCCUCCACCGGGGAAACCCCGCCCACUCACAGUUUGACAUAAGGGUCAGAGAAUCCAUUGACGUCCAUGGCCGCCAGGUGAGUGCAGCGCCUCACGCCGACACAGAGGGCGCCACUGAGCGGGCCUUCACCUCCAUCAGCGCCAUCAGGACGGACGGAGGGCAGGAACUGCAGGGACAGCAGCAGCCGGCCUCGCUCCUCCAGGCUGUGCAGCUGCUCGUUCUCCCACUGCAGACAGCACCAGUGAAACCAGUUCAUUUAAACCAGUUCAUCUAAACCAGAUCCAGUUAAAAAGAGCCCAGUCUAACUGGGAGCACUGGGAGAUUUCUCUCUGCUCCGGUUUGAAACUCUAGGACUGAAAAUGAGUCCAACCAGUUAAACCACACAGAAGGUCAACUGAAGGUCAACCGGGGAGCGUCUUCUUCACUGCUGUCCUCGAUUGAAGCUCGUCUCUGCUUCGAUCCGAUCAGAUCAGCAAUCGAUUCGCCGUAUUCGUCCGUCCUGACGUGCGGCAGCCUCGGGUCGGAUCCGUCCUGCAGCUUCAGCAGAAGCUCUUUGUGUCUGAAGGAAGUUCAGUUCAGCAACUUCAGGUAGACGGCUCUGAUUUCCCAUCAGAGUGAGACGUCUGUGUUCAGAGUGGAUCUCUGAGUCUCAGAGCAUCCAGAUCUAUAUUUCAGCUCAAACUUCUGAGAAUCAGCAGGAAACUGCAGAAGCUUCUGCUGCACAGGCUGAACUGAAAGGUGCGUCAGCAGGUAAAGCUGCUGUUUGUCUCCAUGCUGAGGUCAAAUUGGCUGAAAAUGCGUCCAGUGAAACCGGCUCUGCUGCUUCGCCUUUGUCCAAGCACCUGGACCGUUCCUGAGGGAAACUAUGGAGGCUGGACAGAAUCCCAGAAACAGGAAGUUGUGACGCUGCUGGAAAGAAGACAGACGGCGUCUGAGAGGAAGAACAUCCCGAUGCGUUGAUGGCAUUUUAAUCACGUCUCACUCUCUGCUAUGCUGCCAAUGUUUCAACAGUAUGCGUUUCAACCAGUAAGGAACCAGUAAGGGACCAGUAAGGGACCAGUAAGGGACCUCCACCUUCACCUGGAGAUGGAGCAACGCCGGGAAUCAGCCACAUCUAACGAGCCGAAGAGCGAAAACCCGGCAAACGACACCUGAAGGAGCCGAGGGACGGAGACGGCGGGGGGUCCAACAGCGAUGGACUGAGCCACUGGUUGAACUGGUUGAAUGGGUUAAACGGUCCUAGUUAACUGGGAGUGAGGCUUUCAGCAGAGACGGAGCCAGGUUCCUUCAGCGGGUUAAAUGGCAUCAGAACCGAUUCUGAUACCGACCCUCUUCUAAACUGGGUCAGAACUUCAGUUCUGGUAGGUCCGGUUCGGGACCCGGCAGAGGUCCAUGUCUACCAGUGGGGACAGGAAGCUGACACCAGCUGCUCUUCACACCUGCCCAGGCGCUGCUGCUUCCUGUCUCACCUGAUGACCUCUCACAGCUGUGAGGGCAGCGAGGCCUGGAGGCAUCGAGCUGGCCCGGUUCUGACCCACUAUGCGCACCUUUCUGGUUUCCUGGGAGAGAACGGACCAGAACUCGGCUUCAUUCCUGAAGCUCUAAGCUGAAACUUUCAGGUUCUGGUGAGUUUGGUUCCGUCUGUCCUUUAAUGGGCCGCUCUGUGUCUGAACGGCUCUGGAUGGAAGCCUGAGUGAAACCACCAAUCAGAGGUAGGAGGCGGGUCUUAAUGCUGUCAAUCACCUUGCUCAAUUAAGAGCGACUGUUGUGAACGCUAAGGCUUGUUAGCAUAGCCACCGAUAACGGCAGAAAAACAGUUUUCCUGGUGAGUUUUUGUCUGCCAUUGGUGCGUUUAUCAUGAGUUGAUUGACAGCAUUAAGCCCCUCCCCCUGCCUCUGAUUGACCGUUUUUGGUCGGGAGCGUUUCAUUUCUUCAAUCAGCACUAGCCAAUCGGGGAGCAGGAGGAGAUUGAUCAGAUUAUCAGGUUCAUAACAAACAGCGCUAAUCCCUGCUAACUCUGUCCUCAGGUCCCAUUCGGACCCACAGAACCAAAGCCAGCUGUCCCUCCAGCCAGCAGGGGGCGCUGCAGCAGCAGAGUUACAGUUAAUAAAUGAAUCUUUUCUCAUUUGUCCUGGGAAAAUGACUUCCAGGAUGAUCAGGAAUUAAAUCAUUGAUUGAUUCAUAUUUUCCAGCAGAUUUUCCAUUUUAAUCAAGAGAAUCAAAUCAGAAUCAGGAUAAAUUGUGAUGAUUAAGAUACUAAUUAUGAUCCUUGAAAAUUAAAAUAGUUUAAUUUAUAAAAGCUUGAAGCGCUCAGGGAAGGUCAGAGGUCACAGCUGGUUGGUUUGUCUGAUAGAAGGAAGUUCAGGAACCCAGAGAUCAGAGAACUGCUUUCUCCUGAACUUUUACUGUUCACGAAGGCAUCGCUCUAUUCGGGAUCAAUUGCUUUUAGCCGAUAAUCUGUAGAAAUGUCUCUUUCUGGUUCCGUCAUCAUAGUUUUGUUCAGGAGCCAAGCGUCUGAUGGUUCCUCACCUUGGCCCGCAGCACGGUGCAGCGCAGCUCGCUGCAGCUCACGUCGUAGCGCAGCUCGAACUCCAGCGUUCCCAGAGCGGCUGAGGAGACAGAGAGGAAGAGGAGGAUGAGGAAGAUAACAGCAACAUCUGCAACCAGGCAACCCAGAAACCUCCAGCGGCAACGUGAAGUUCUGGGAUUCACAGUUCAGGAACGCUUCAGGUCCUAAACAAAAUUUUCCUCAUGCGUCUCCAGCAUCUUUCUGUUCGGUCAGCGUGAGACGAAACGAUGCACCAACAUUUAAAGCUUCGCUUUGAACCCAGGCUUUUAGAAAAUGGCUUCGGCUUUGAUGUUUCUGGAACGGCGGAGCCGAUCUGCCCACAGAUUCUCCGUCUCAUUCAACACGCUCCUGGAAGGAAGAGGAUUUACUGCAAACUUCCUGCCUGCGUCUCCUUGGGAUUCAAAUCCUCCUCCCACAUCAUCAUUCAGUCCAACCAGCCGCUGCACAGCAACACGGCCUGCUGGAAGCUGAUCCACCGAGGAGGACGGCAGGAUCCGUCCCUCACAUUUAUGGAAAGAUGAGCAGAAAAUACAGCUAUUCAUAUUUAACAUGAAGGGAAAAGCUUCAAAAAACAAAUCCAGUUCAGACUCCAGGAAGGCUUUAACGUUUCCUAAUUCUGUCCCUGCAAGCAGGAAGUCCGGAUGUCCCUGAACACACCACCACUUCCAGCCUGAGAAUCCAGAAGUGUUUUCUCUUUAGUUUCAGGAACAGAUGCAAAGCGCAGAUCUGAUCUUCAUAAGCUGCUGGAAUUAAAUAAAUACAUGAGAGUCUGACGUUUUAACAAAAAAAGGUCAAAUGUCAGACAGGAACAUCCAAUCAGAUGACAUAAUCACCUGAUUCUACUGUGCUGCCUCUGGACCCUCAGUCAGGCACCCUAACCCAGGCCACGCCUUCCUGGAGGCCACGCCUUCCUGGAGGCCACGCCUUCCUGGAGGCCACGCCUUCCUGGAGGCCACGCCUUCCUGGAGGCGUGGCCUGAAUCUAAAUUUGCCCAUCAAUACGUAACGAUAGCCAGGCUAGCGCUGAACACUAACUAUGAAAAAGUUGCCAUGUUAAUCCAGACUGAGUCUCUGAUCAACUGUUAACAGCGGAGCUGCUAGGCUAGCACUGCUUUAGCCAUGCAGGUUGUUCUUCCUGAAUGUGUCUUGGUGCAUGUUGCUGGUAAAUCAGAGGCUUUGAUGAUUAAAUUGUGAGAAGGUCUCAGCUGUUGCCCGUCUAGGCCUGUAGGUGGCGCUUUGCAGCUUCCAGGCAGAUUUUAUGUUUUAGUUCUGGUUCCUGCAGAGCGCCAACCAGAACCAGAACACAAACGUUUUAAAGAAACUUUGAGGCUCAUCCUGGUGCUGGAGCGUUUUCAUUUUCUGGAUAGAGGAAAUAUUACAGCAGUUAUCCAACGCAGUGGAGGAGCGGCUUCUCCUCACAUGCAGGUUUCCUGUUCAGAACCUUCACUUAACACAUUCAGGAAUUUACCUAGAAUCCUGUUUUCAUUGAAUGCAUCAGCUCAGUUUUAUGUAAACCGAUCAUCGUUUUCCCUUUGAAGCAGAUGAAGUUACAUAAAGCCAGCAGCUCUUCUGUUCCCAUGCAGCACUGACACAAAUCUACUGUAAAUUUAAUGUAUCUCAGCAGAGGCUCCUGCAGUGCAACAGUGAGAAAAGUCCUGCAGAUCUUCCUGCAUGUGUCACUUUCUAAAGCUGAACAGAAAAAAGCAACAAUGUUCAGAGAAGUUCAAUCCAAAGCUGCAGAGCAGAGAGGAGCUGCUUACCUUUAGUAGAGGGAGAGGAGAGAGAGAGGAGGAGAUUCCUGCACAAACAAGACCGAGGCUCUGCACUAACAGGUGGAGAGACGGGCAGCGAGGAAGAGGAGGUGGGGGAGGAGGAAGAGGAAGAGGAGGAGGAAAAAGAGGAGGAAGAGGAGGAGGAAGAGGAGGAGGAGGAAGAGGAGGAGGACUCCCUGAGUGAUCCACUCCUCCUGUCUUCGUCUCGCUGCUCCAGAUUCUGAUAUUUCUAAUAUUUCGUUGCUCAGCUUCACGUUCAUCUGCAAUGUCCACAGCGAUGAAGCUCUUCCUUUAAUCACAUGUAUUACCUCCCUCCCCCCCUCCUGCAGUGGGGGGGCAGCAGAGUACAAUAAUGUGCCAACAGCAGCAUCUGUCUUUCUGCUCCUCUGUAUAAUUUGAGCUUAAUGAUGCCUAAUGAUACAUGUGUGAUCCAACACACCAUCACACAGGAAGGGUGAGGAAGACGUGCCCUCCUCUUCCUCAGCGGUGUCCCUGGGUGAAGGAUCUUCCUCCUGCUCCUCCUCCUCUCCAUCCGCCCCUCAGCAGCAGCUCGGCCUGCAGGGCGACUCCUCAUCAGAUGGAAGAGUUUCCUGUUGCUUUGCUAGCUGCUUUCCAACUGACUCCUGUUUCUUUAGGGGUGUCAGAGUAGAAGCAGCUAUGUGAGCAGGCAUGUUCUCUCCUAGUAAUUUAGCUCAUUUUUCCUUUAGCUCCUUCUGCUAACUUUGAAAACAUUCAACUAAUUUAGCUUCCUCUAAGUUAAUUUUUACAAAUAAAUUCUAGAGUUCGCUUUUGAGGCUGUUCUAACACACUUUUCUUCUUCGUGAUCUUUAUUAGCGCUUGGCAAGACGUUAGUGCCCAUUACCGCCACCUGGUGGAGGCUUCAGACAGUAAAACAUGUUUUGUUCUGUUCCAAAUAUUCUGUUGAGAAGAAAAUUAUUGUGUAGAUUAAAUAAACAAGA